UUAUAUAUAUGUGCAUAUAUAAAUUCUCAUGCAAAAGCAUUUGCUUUCUUCUGUACAUUUUUAUUAAUGCAAUAACCUCCUCUACGUUUCAUAAUCAAUGGAAAAUUACCCACGUCAUUCCGGUGGUUAAAUGUAACUCCCAAUACUUUCAAAUAAUAUCAGACAUGUGUCUCAAUAAUUCCUUGAGUAAAUUUCGAUCUGGGUAUGCAUAUGUAGAUCAAAACAUAGUUGUUCCACAGCCAUUAUGAAAAUCAUAGACAACAUCUGUCCUGCUUUCGAUAAUAAGCUACUUAUCUUCUUAGUACUUUUACAUUUCUCUAAAGCUUUCGACACAGUAAACCAUGAUGUUCUUCUAUUAAAACUGAAAAGUUAUUUUGGUUUCAAUUCAACAGCAGAAGCUACUUAUCGAACAGAUAUCAGCAAGUUCAGGGUGAAGGGAAUUAGUUCCGAAUACAGCGCGUUAAGGUAGAACAAAAUAAAAGUGUGGGUGUCGUUCGCCCUGUUUUCCUGAUUUUAGUGACAUAAAUUGUUUUUGACAAACUUUUUUUCGUAUAUAUGAGGCAUGAUGAAAUAAUAAACUGGUGAAGUAAGCAGAGUAGAAAUUCCCUGCAAGACGAAGGUAACCAUUUCACAACUAAUACCGUACGACUACGUCGUUUUACCACUACAUCCACAAAACUAUUUUUCGUUCCUGUAAGGCAGUUUCUGUAGUAUGUUAGAAAGAGAUCUGCGUAUACACAUUAUUCAAAUAUGACUUUUGAAAACUUUCCGUCAUUUACUUUUUCAUUUGAAGGCGCAAAGAGAUUGACUGAAUAAUUUUAGAACAGUAGCAGAACUCAAAUAGCGAAAAAAACAAAUGAGGUGUUAUUUUUUGCAUCUUUGACCCCAGAUACUUGCCAAAAUAAAGAUCCAGUCAAGAAAAGGAAAGCAAGGCCACGAGCCCCACGAGGGACGCAGCUACCGCGACGGAUAACCCGAACGGAUCUGGUGACAGUGAGUCUCAUUUCGGCAAGUGAGGGGAGGGUGUUGGAGCCCUUAAAACAACACAAGAAAAUAUACAUACAUAUGUAUAUACAUAUAAACGAAAU